rnacentral:rRNA from 1 species
CGCGCAGGUGGUUUCUUAAGUCUGAUGUGAAAGCCCACGGCUCAACCGUGGAGGGUCAUUGGAAACUGGGAGACUUGAGUGCAGAAGAGGAUAGUGGAAUUCCAAGUGUAGCGGUGAAAUGCGUAGAGAUUUGGAGGAACACCAGUGGCGAAGGCGACUGUCUGGUCUGUAACUGACACUGAGGCGCGAAAGCGUGGGGAGCGAACA